rnacentral:rRNA from 1 species
UACGGAGGGUGCAAGCGUUAUCCGGAUUCACUGGGUUUAAAGGGUGCGUAGGCGGGCAGGUAAGUCAGUGGUGAAAUCUCCGAGCUUAACUCGGAAACUGCCGUUGAUACUAUUUGUCUUGAAUAUUGUGGAGGUAAGCGGAAUAUGUCAUGUAGCGGUGAAAUGCCUAGAUAUGACAUAGAACACCAAUUGCGAAGGCAGCUUACUACACAAUUAUUGACGCUGAGGCACGAAAGCGUGGGGAUCAAACAGG